rnacentral:piRNA from 1 species
UGCCUCAAAGAAACCGUCUGGAUGAAGA